UAUCCCUCACACAUUCUUUCUCUCUCACACAUUCUUUCUCUCUCUCAUCCCUCAUCUUGAAGAUACAUUUGGACCACCAUCAUGACUAUUGGAUGGCCACCAGAAUCAUCAUAACGAUGUCAGAACCACGAUAACGACCCCCGAAGCACCGUAAGGCUGGAGGGAGUGGAGCCGCACUCCCUCCCACUCUCUCCCAUUACCGCAGCUUCCUUAAAACACCAAAGGAGUGGAAAGAAGAGACAGAUAGAGAGAUAGAGGAGGAGAGAGAGGAAGGGAGCGCUCCCUCUCAUUACCGUGUUCCCUAACCGCGCUUCCAAAACCGCAUGGAGGGGGCGGUGUUUUAAUGCCACAUCAGCUGCGGUUUCAGCCAAACUGCAUCCCACACCCUCCAGCCUAACAUCGUCGGAACCACCAGAUGGCUGCCUUUUCAAUCUAUCUGGAUAUGCUUGGUCGCCACUCCCUCCGCCUCCCACCGUUAGAAACCACCUUUUCACCUCUCAUUUUUCUGAACCGUCACCAGAUCUUGUUUCACCGGCCACAUAAUCUUGAUUUCCGAUUUUGUUUCACUAGUCACAAGAUCUGAACGUAUCUGAAGCAAAAUGCUAUCAAAUUUGUUUCCCGAUCUGGUUUCAGCGAUCAUCGCCACUGCCACCAUCAAAUUACAAUCGUCGGUGCGGUGGUUCAAGUCUACCGACAAAAGUAGUUUUUACUAAGAUUAAGCUUGAUAAGGAUAUGAAGUCGUUGCUUGAUCGAAAAGAAAAAGAUCGUGUUUCUGAUAAAUCUAAGGGGAAGUUUACUACUGAUGAUGUUGCUACAGGUGCAUCUCUCCAAAAAACCGAUCAGGUUAUGUUUUCUUAUUUAUUAGCUUAAGAAAUUCCCCUCUUUUGUUAUGUUAUUUUGAUAUGAGAACCAUUUAUGCGAGUUACUAUUAUAAAAUUUGAAAAUUAAUCAGUUUGUUGCUCUAGCUUUUUGGAUUUUAUGAACUUGCUCAUGUUUUACGGUUA